AACGGUACGUGCGGGUGUGUUUUUGCUAUCGCGCGCGUAGGCGUUCGUUCGCUCGCAGUCGAUUCAUAGAAUAUAAUCUACAGUUAGUUCGAGCCUGUCAGUUGGCGCCUGGGACGCAAGAAGCUUAAAAAAGACAACAAUUGCUGCAGCUCCAACAGUUGUGCGUGUGAUAUCAAAGUGCGUUUGUACAGCACGUAAACUUGUGCAAACAGAACACUUAACUUUGUAAAAAUGUGUGUUUGCAUGUAGAGAGAGAGGAGCCGGCAAAAGAUGCACAAACAUCAAAAGUAAAAGUUUUGGCUUCAAGAGAGCAUGGAACACAAACUGGCGACAUUUAAAUUGUCGCCACUUGCUGCACCACGCGACACGCUUCCUCGCCCCAUAAACUGCGAGACAUUCAAUGCUGCCCCUGGAGCUGGAGCUGGAGCUGCGACUUGUCUGCAAAUGCUGCAAAUUGUGCGCAAUAUAAAUUAGUCUAAGCUACACAACACUAACACGCCCCGCCCACAUUUGCCGCCCACUAGCGUUGAACAAUCCAAGCCAAGAAAGAGAAAAAAACAAUAAUAAAUCAAACGAAUGAAUGCAAAAUACGAAAGUCGCGUAACAAGACCAACACGUAAAAAACAACAGCAACAACAACACUACACCACAACAACAACAACAAGAACAACGACACACCA